ACGGAAGGCAGCAGUGGGGAAUAUUGCACAAUGGGGGAAACCCUGAUGCAGCAACGCCGCGUGAGUGAUGAAGGUCUUCGGAUUGUAAAGCUCUGUCUUUAGGGACGAUAAUGACGGUACCUAAGGAGGAAGCCACGGCUAACUACGUGCCAGCAGCCGCGGUAAUACGUAGGUGGCAAGCGUUAUCCGGAUUUACUGGGCGUAAAGGGAGCGUAGGCGGAUAUUUAAGUGGGAUGUGAAAUACCUGAGCUUAACUUGGGUGCUGCAUUCCAAACUGGGUAUCUAGAGUGCAGGAGAGGAGAAUGGAAUUCCUAGUGUAGCGGUGAAAUGCGUAGAGAUUAGGAAGAACACCAGUGGCGAAGGCGAUUCUCUGGACUGUAACUGACGCUGAGGCUCGAAAGCGUGGGGAGCAAACAGGAUUAGAUACCCUGGUA
rnacentral:rRNA from 1 species